CAAAACUAAACCUAUUGUAUUACUGAAUUUUAUAUUUGGUUGGGCAGAUGAUAUUCCAUUUGUAGUCAUUAACUUCUAUGAAAAUAAAAAUAUCUGCUGAAAGACUUAAAAUGUAAAUGUGUAAAGUUGUUAUAACUAAGGGUUUUGAAGGUUUUCACUGAGUAAAUUGCUGCUGUUAUUUUCACAAGUUGCACAAGCAAGUAGUGAACAGUCAGGUUGGAAAUAGCCAUUACGAAUACUGAAAUCUGAUUAUAGAAUGGGAAAAAUUGCUAAUUUCCAUUUUUUAUUCUGUUUCAUAUCUCUGUGAGUAUCCUGAUAUUUCUCUUUUCAAGUCAAUUCUUUUUAGAACUUUUUCUCAGAAUCAGUUUUUAGUUCCUCAUUUUAAACCAAAGAUACUGUUUUGUAUCAAAUGCAAUUCAGAGGAUAUUAAGCUCAAAACUUGGCAAUGUAGGCAGAUAUGAAUGAAUUUACAAAUGAACAAGGCAAACUAUUCAUAGACAAAUGGGCAUACAGAUUUCAAAAUCAGAAAAAAAAGUUUCUGAAUGGGGAAAAAAAUCGCAAUAAUAAACUACAUUUCUCUAAUUUCCUGGGGUUUGUCCUGCAAGGGCAAAGUUAAGUUUUAUUUGUAGCUAUUACUGAAAUGUUACUAGUGUUUUUAACUAAACUGGUAUACUAAUGCUAAAAAACAAAUAAAAGCACCUAAUGAAGGAAGCUAGGUCAGUCCUGGUUUUCUUAUUGUAAUUAUUUUUUAUAUUUUGCUUCACAUGUUCUUCCACAUUUAUUUCCUGUGGAUACUGUGUGUGUUCCUAGCUCUGUAAUAUGAAACACCUGUACUUCAAAUUCUUAAAGCGGAGAAAUAUUCUGUAUGAAUUAGGGAGAAAUUCAUGUUAAGUCUGUUCCAGUGAAUUUUAUGUGUCAUUUCUGUCAUACCUUGUUGCAAUUAUUAAUGAAGUCAAAUGCUUUUCAGAUGACAGCAUGUGGAACCAGGGAAAAUUGGAUAUCUGGUAGACAUUCUACUCAAUUAAAGGCUGAUGAUACAAUGGGACUAAGAGGAAUACUUCAGCCUCUUAACAGGUAA
rnacentral:lncRNA from 1 species